GACGAACGCUGGCGGCGUGCUUAACACAUGCAAGUCAAGGGUUCUUCGGAACACUGGCGCACGGGUGCGUAACACGUAGGCAAUCUGCCACAUACACGGGGAUAACGGUUCUAACGGGCUGCUAAUACCCGAUACGCCGAGAGAAGGCAUCUUCUUUUGGUGAAAGGCUUCGGCUGGUAUGUGAUGAGCCUGCGUCUGAUUAGGUAGUUGGUGAGGUAAUGGCUCACCAAGCCAACGAUCAGUAGCUGGUCUGAGAGGAUGAUCAGCCACAUUGGAACUGAGACACGGUCCAG
rnacentral:rRNA from 1 species